rnacentral:rRNA from 1 species
ACGGGGUGCAGCAGGCGCGAAAACUUUACAAUGCGGGAAACCGUGAUAAGGGGACACCGAGUGCCAGCAUCAUAUGCUGGCUGUCCGGAUGUGUAGAAUACAUCCGUUAGCAAGGGCCGGGCAAGACCGGUGCCAGCCGCCGCGGUAACACCGGCGGCCCGAGUGGUGAUCGUGAUUAUUGGGUCUAAAGGGUCCGUAGCCGGUUUGGUCAGUCCUCCGGGAAAUCUGAUAGCUCAACUAUUAGGCUUUCGGGGGAUACUGCCAGACUUGGAACCGGGAGAGGUAAGAGGUACUACAGGGGUAGGAGUGAAAUCUUGUAAUCCCUGUGGGACCACCUGUGGCGAAGGCGUCUUACCAGAACGGGUUCGACGGUGAGGGACGAAAGCUGGGGGCACGAACCGGAUUAGAUACCCGGGUAGUCCCAGCCGUAAACGAUGCUCGCUAGGUGUCAGGCAUGGCGCGACCGUGUCUGGUGCCGCAGGGAAGCCGUGAAGCGAGCCACCUGGGAAGUACGGCCGCAAGGCUGAAACUUAAAGGAAUUGGCGGGGGAGCAC